GUUUUACAGAGCCUUGGAGAUGACAAAGCAGCUGCUUCCCCUGUGCUUGACUGAACGCUUUCUCCACACACCACUGGGUUAGGUUUUUUAAUUUCUGUGUCACAUUGAUCUUAUCUCGUUGCUCUGCCUCUAACAUGCCAUUAGGUGCCUCUGAGUGCCAGUAGUGAGUGAGAUCAGCUUCUUGUGGGCUAGCUGCAGUCCCAUCUGUGUGACUGAUGCUGACUCUGAACGGCUACUUCCCCACCUCCUGCUCGUCCUUUUCCUGGUUACUCACACUGUCUGCUUGCAGAAGACGAGAUUCUCAAGUUCCUUGGAGGGAUGCCAGAGAAAACCACAAUGGAAAAAACAUCCACAUCUUUGCCAAGGCUGUAGAGAAAAUAAUGAAGAGAAUGAAGAAACCAACAUUGUUUCCAUAAAUCCUGCAUAAACAGACUCCUUGGAGGUGGAAAGAGAAGGUACACCAAAAUGAAAAUGGAUCAGAGAACUUGAACAACGCCUUCAGCCCUUCUACGCUAUCUUUCAAGAGACGCUUAGAUCCUUGGCACAUAAGAAAGGUGUGUUUUUGGUUACAC
rnacentral:lncRNA from 1 species